UACGGGGGGUGCAAGCGUUGUCCGGAACCAUUGGGCGUAAAGCGUUCGUAGGCGGUACAUUAAGUCUGGUGUUAAAUCCUCGGGCUCAACUCGGGGGUAGCAUUGGAUACUGGUGAACUAGAAUGCGGUAGAGGUUAAGGGAAUUCCUGGUGUAGCGGUGAAAUGCGUAGAUAUCAGGAGGAACACCGGAGGCGAAAGCGCUUAACCGGGCCGAAAUUGACGCUGAGGAACGAAAGCCGGGGGAGCAAAU
rnacentral:rRNA from 1 species